rnacentral:rRNA from 1 species
AUGGAAUCAUUUGGGGGUAUCUUGGAGACAAGGGAGUCAAAAAGACAAGAGCGGUUUGAGCUCAUGAUUGCAAUGGACAAACAGAGAGAAGAAGAUAGGUUGGUAGAAGAAAGAAAGAAACUUGCAAUACAAGAAAAAAAGAUGGAAUUAGAAGAAGAAAAGAUACGAAUCAUGAGAAUGGCGGAAGAACGCAUGAUGGGGGCUGAAGAAAGCAAAAUAAUGAGCAUGGACCUUAGUGGCAUGGAUGAGCAAGAACAAGAAUUCUACAAAUUAAGAAAGAGCCAGAUCAUCAACCGACAUCGUAACUCGUCGGCUUGA